UUUAAAGAAAAUAUGGAUAAGAGACAAAGCAUUGUUUAUCCCUAUUACGAGAAUAUGAGGACAUUAUUACAGAAAAUAACGGAAGACUGAGACGAUCUGCACUAGCUCCCUAGAUCCAUCACUGCAGUGCAUUCAGCCCAGCAGUCAUGAGUUCCAGGCUUGAAGAAUAAAUAAAUACAAAAUGCACCCAUUUCUCCACAGGCUAUUCCUAAAGAAUUGGACCAAUGGAUUCAUUCAGGCAGCAAGUUAAUCCAUCAUGUAAGGAAAAUGAAUUGAUUUCAUCCACAAGAACAUGAAGUGAUGGAAAUGAUUUGCAGCUGCUCAGUAUUCCUUGUACAGUCUACCACAAUUUGAAAAGCUGUUUAUGAAAUAAAAAUUCUUCAUAAAAAAUGAUUUGACUUUUUCAUAUACAUGUACUUACUGUACAGGUGUUGAAAAGGCUAUUAAGAUUUGAUAAUCUUGACUUGCAUAUAUUUGUGUGGUGGGUGUCAAUGUCCAUCAAGUUUUUAUUUCCUGCAUGUACAUUGUG